rnacentral:rRNA from 1 species
GUUAAGUUGCAGGGUAUAGACCCGAAACCCGGUGAUCUAGCCAUGGGCAGGUUGAAGGUUGGGUAACACUAACUGGAGGACCGAACCGACUAAUGUUGAAAAAUUAGCGGAUGACCUGUGGCUGGGGGUGAAAGGCCAAUCAAACCGGGAGAUAGCUGGUUCUCCCCGAAAGCUAUUUAGGUAGCGCCUCGUGAAUUCAUCUCCGGGGGUAGAGCACUGUUUCGGCUAGGGGGCCAUCCCGGCUUACCAACCCGAUGCAAACUGCGAAUACCGGAGAAUGUUAUCACGGGAGACACACGGCGGGUGCUAACGUCCGUCGUGAAGAGGGAAACAACCCAGACCGCCAGCUAAGGUCCCAAAGUCAUGGUUAAGUGGGAAAGGAUGUGGGAAGGCCCAGACAGCCAGGAUGUUGGCUUAGAAGCAGCCAUCAUUUAAAGAAAGCGUAAUAGCUCACUGGUCGAGUCGGCCUGCGCGGAAGAUGUAACGGGGCUAAACCAUGCACCGAAGCUGCGGCAGCGACACUGUGUGUUGUUGGGUAGGGGAGCGUUCUGUAAGCCUGUGAAGGUGUGUCGUGAGGCAUGCUGGAGGUAUCAGAAGUGCGAAUGCUGACAUAAGUAACGAUAAAGCGGGUGAAAAGCCCGCUCGCCGGAAGACCAAGGGUUCCUGUCCAACGUUAAUCGGGGCAGGGUGAGUCGACCCCUAAGGCGAGGCCGAAAGGCGUAGUCGAUGGGAAACGGGUUAAUAUUCCCGUACUUGGUGUUACUGCGAAGGGGGGACGGAGAAGGCUAUGUUGGCCGGGCGACGGUUGUCCCGGUUUAAGCGUGUAGGUGUGUGUUCCAGGUAAAUCCGGUUCACUUUAACACUGAGGCGUGACGACGAGGCACUACGGUGCUGAAGCAACAAAUGCCCUGCUUCCAGGAAAAGCCUCUAAGCAUCAGGUAACAUCAAAUCGUACCCCAAACCGACACAGGUGGUCAGGUAGAGAAUACCAAGGCGCUUGAGAGAACUCGGGUGAAGGAACUAGGCAAAAUGGUGCCGUAACUUCGGGAGAAGGCACGCUGACACGUAGGUGAAGUGAUUUACUCAUGGAGCUGAAGUCAGUCGAAGAUACCAGCUGGCUGCAACUGUUUAUUAAAAACACAGCACUGUGCAAACACGAAAGUGGACGUAUACGGUGUGACGCCUGCCCGGUGCCGGAAGGUUAAUUGAUGGGGUCAGCGCAAGCGAAGCUCCUGAUCGAAGCCCCGGUAAACGGCGGCCGUAACUAUAACGGUCCUAAGGUAGCGAAAUUCCUUGUCGGGUAAGUUCCGACCUGCACGAAUGGCGUAAUGAUGGCCAGGCUGUCUCCACCCGAGACUCAGUGAAAUUGAACUCGCUGUGAAGAUGCAGUGUACCCGCGGCAAGACGGAAAGACCCCGUGAACCUUUACUAUAGCUUGACACUGAACAUUGAGCCUUGAUGUGUAGGAUAGGUGGGAGGCUUUGAAGUGUGGACGCCAGUCUGCAUGGAGCCGACCUUGAAAUACCACCCUUUAAUGUUUGAUGUUCUAACGUGGACCCGUUACCCGGGUUGCGGACAGUGUCUGGUGGGUAGUUUGACUGGGGCGGUCUCCUCCUAAAGAGUAACGGAGGAGCACGAAGGUUGGCUAAUCCUGGUCGGACAUCAGGAGGUUAGUGCAAUGGCAUAAGCCAGCUUGACUGCGAGCGUGACGGCGCGAGCAGGUGCGAAAGCAGGUCAUAGUGAUCCGGUGGUUCUGAAUGGAAGGGCCAUCGCUCAACGGAUAAAAGGUACUCCGGGGAUAACAGGCUGAUACCGCCCAAGAGUUCAUAUCGACGGCGGUGUUUGGCACCUCGAUGUCGGCUCAUCACAUCCUGGGGCUGAAGUAGGUCCCAAGGGUAUGGCUGUUCGCCAUUUAAAGUGGUACGCGAGCUGGGUUUAGAACGUCGUGAGACAGUUCGGUCCCUAUCUGCCGUGGGCGCUGGAGAACUGAGGGGGGCUGCUCCUAGUACGAGAGGACCGGAGUGGACGCAUCACUGGUGUUCGGGUUGUCAUGCCAAUGGCACUGCCCGGUAGCUAAAUGCGGAAGAGAUAAGUGCUGAAAGCAUCUAAGCACGAAACUUGCCCCGA